UACGGUGAAUACGUUCCCGGACCUUGCACACACCGCCCGUCAAGCCAUGGAAGCCGGGUGUACCUAAAGUCGGUAACCGUAAGGAGCCGCCUAGGGUAAAACUAGUGACUGGGGCU
rnacentral:rRNA from 1 species